CCUACGGGCGGCAGCAGUGGGGGAUAUUGCACAAUGGGGGAAACCCUGAUGCAGCGACGCCGCGUGAGUGAAGAAGUAUUUCGGUAUGUAAAGCUCUAUCAGCAGGGAAGAAAAUGACGGUACCUGACCAAGAAGCCCCGGCUAACUACGUGCCAGCAGCCGCGGUAAUACGUAGGGGGCAAGCGUUAUCCGGAUUUACUGGGUGUAAAGGGGGCGUAGACGGUGAUGUAAGUCAGGAGUGAAAGGCCGGGGCCCAACCCCGGGACUGCUUUGGAAACUGUGUAACUGGAGUACAGGAGGGGCAGGCGGAAUUCCUGGUGUAGCGGUGAAAUGCGUAGAUAUCAGGAGGAACACCGGUGGCGAAGGCGGCUUGCUGGACUGAAACUGACGUUGAGGCUCGAAAGCGUGGGGAGCAAACAGGAUUAGAUACCCGAGUAGUC
rnacentral:rRNA from 1 species